AUUGAACGCUGUCGGCAGGCUUAACACAUGCAAGUCGAGCGAGCGGCGGACGGGUGAGUAAUGUCUGGGAAACUGCCUGAUGGAGGGGGAUACCUACUGGAAACGGUAGCUAAUACCGCAUCCCAUCAGAUGUGCCCAGAUGGGAUUAGCUAGUAGGUGGGGUAAUGGCUCACCUGGGCGACGAUCCCUAGCUGGUCUGAGAGGAUGACAAGCAAAAAUGGAAGUGAGACACGGUCCAGAGUCCUACGGGAGGCAGCAGUGGGGAAUAUUGCAAAAUGGGCGCAAGCCUGAUGCAGCCAUGCCGCGUGUGUGAAGAAGGCCUUCGGGGUGGAAAGCACUUUCAGCGAGGAGGCGUUACUCGCAGAAGAAGCACCGGCUAACUCCGUGCCAGCCGCCGCGGUAAUAC
rnacentral:rRNA from 1 species